UGCAGCCGUGUCACGCUCGGGGCUCCUCUUUCCCAUAGGAGCCCUAGCACAGCCCGCUGCCAUGGCAAAACCUGUAGCACACGGGCCCCACCACUCUGCCGGUGAGCUCUGGGGGGUAUAUCCACUGCAGACGUCC
rfam:Alligator mississippiensis ScZkoYb_636, whole genome shotgun sequence.